rnacentral:rRNA from 1 species
AUACGGAGGGGGCUAGCGUUGUUCGGAAUUACUGGGCGUAAAGCGCGCGUAGGCGGUGUACAAAGUCAGAGGUGAAAGCCCUGGGCUCAACCUGGGAACUGCCUUUGAAACUAACGGUCUAGAGUCCGAGAGAGGAUGGCGGAAUUCCCAGUGUAGAGGUGAAAUUCGUAGAUAUUGGGAAGAACACCAGUGGCGAAGGCGGCCAUCUGGCUCGGUACUGACGCUGAGGCGCGAAAGCGUGGGGAGCAAACAGGAUUAGAAACCCCAGUAGUCC